rnacentral:tRNA from 1 species
GGGGUCGUCGUCUAGUUUGGUCAAAAGCGGGUAUCUCUGGCUCUGGGCAUAUUUGCUGGUCAAGGAUACCAGCCUGGGGCGCUGGCGAUCCGGGGUUCAAAUCCCCGCGACCCCA